CACGCAGCAGCAGGCCAGCGGGCGGAUAGCUCACGCGUUUAGUUUCGCCCCAGAACCGCACCAAGACGGUCACCAUCAUUGAGCAGAAACCGCAGAACGUACGAAGCAGCAGAUGGCCCCAUCGGCAGUAAGCAUGGUAUUUACGGUGGAGAACGCCAAAACGAUUGGUGCAUUGGAAAAGGGACAGAAACCGCCGGGCGGGCAUAGCUUCGACGAGGCGCUGGAGCUGGCCGGAUUCGGGCGGGUACAGAUCGUCCUCUCGAUUCUGGCCGGACUCGGCAUGAUGGCAUCGAUCAACGAAGCGAUGGGCAUGAGCAUCAUUCUCCCCGCCUCCCAGUGCGAUCUCGAUCUGGACGCUGGCGAGAAGGGUAUAGUUGGAGGUGCUGUGUUUUUGGGUACAAUGUGUUCGUCCUACUUCUGGGGCUAUCUGGCUGAUACGAGGGGCCGACAGCUGAUCUUGAAGUACGCACUGUUUGCGACCUCGUUCUUCGGUGCGAUCUCCUGUCUGGCGACUGGAUUCACGUCGCUGCUGGUGCUCCGGUUUCUAACAGGUGUCUGUGUUGCUGCGCCUGCCUCUACGGUGUACGCUUAUCUGGGCGAGUUCACCACUCCGAGCAGACGGAGUCAGAUGCUGUCGUUUGCUUCCAUUUGGGGAGGCGUCGGAAUCGUUUACGUAUCAUUGGUCGGUUGGUGGAUACUCUCGUACGAUUGGGUGUUGACUAUCUCCGACUCGUUUGAGUUUAAGCCAUGGCGUUUGCUGUUCAUCAUCAACACGAUGCCCGGCUUCUUGAAUGGCAUCGCAUUCUGCUUCUGUCCCGAAAGUCCCAAAUUUCUUGUCUCACAAGGCCGAAAUGAGGAAGCACUUGAGAUACUGAAGAAGGUCUACAAGCUCAACAAGGGCACUGACAGUACCGAUGGCUAUGAAGUGACGUCACUGCGACUUGAUCCGGAAGAUGCCAUCGCCCGAGAGCAGAGCGAAAACGGUUCUGGAGGACUGCUGAAAUCGAUGGUCCAGCAGACUCUGCCGAUUGUGAAGCUGCCCUACCUGGUGUACUUCAUCAUCUGCUGCGUACACAACAUUGGAGCGUUUGCAAUAUACGGUGGACUAGGGCUGUGGUUCCCGGAGAUUAUGAACCAAGUAUUCUCACAGGACGCCACACAGGUCGAACGAAAAGUUUGCGCCAUACUCCAGCGUAACGAAACCCUACCCGUCACCUCGGACGUCGUGCUCUGCGACGAUGAGGUGAAGAUCGAAACAUUCCUCUACACACUGCUGCUGGGCAUUAUUGGAUGCAUAUACGCGCUCAUCACCUCGGCUGUACUGGGCCGAAUCGAUCAGAAGGUCAUGAUGGUCUUCAACUGCAUCGUGGCCGGUGUGUCCGGUAUUGCGCUACAAUUCAUCACCAACGCGUAUGCCGUGGCAAUCCUAUUCUGUCUCGAGAUAGUGUUCGCCGGGUACUGUGUGCUGCUGGUGAACGCAAACGUGGUGGCCAUCUUUCCCACGAACGUAAGGGCGAUGGCCGUUGCUCUAACGAAUAUGAUUGGGCGAUUGAGCUGCUUCGUAGCGAGUGCUGUGAUAGGGCUACUGAUCCUACAAAACUGUCCAGUCACGUUUUACAUGCUGUCCGGGUUGCUGUUUCUAUGUGCGGGUCUUACAUUCCUGUUGCCAAAAAAGUGACACCGUACGCGCACGCACACAUUAAACACGGAAGGGGGAGAAUGCUAGCCAAGGCGGACUUGCUAGUUUAAGGUGCCAUGUACUUAAUCACAUUAUCAUUAUCGUGAAGCCAAUUGAUGUGAGAUAAUGAGGUGUUGAAUUUUAUCUUUGCAAGCAGGUUGAGUUUGGAACAAAUACUUUCCAUCUCUAACGUCACGUGAUGGAGGUUGCAUUCAACAACCUGGUUAUCUAAUAGUUUAUCUACAGAUCUCCAUGUUUUAGUCAUUAAUAUCUACCACUUAAACUACAUUUGGCAUUGAACCAUAUCGAUAUAGUUUACAGUGCCAAGGAUUUAUUAUAUAGGUGACAUUCCAGCUUUGAUUAUGUUUUUUUUGCCUCAUUGAAAAUGUGUAUCAUUUUAAUCUCGUUACGCUUUAUUGCACACAUAUACAAUGUAUCCUUGGUGAGAAUUUUGUCUUCAUCCGGGUUGAAUGUAUCCUGGUGCGUACUUAACUCGAACUGAUUUUUUGACAACGAUGUGCUAACCAAGAAAGUGUUAUCCUUUUAUGGCAACAAAAAACUAGUAUCAAAGUAAAACAUCAUCAUUAUUCAUUGUUCUUUAGACACAGCCUAAUAAGUACUGCCGAAACGAUUAAAAGCCGACA